rnacentral:tRNA from 1 species
AAGGCUUUAGCUUAAUCAAAGCGCUUGCUUUGCAAGCAAGCAAUGUAGGAUAGAGUCCUGCAAGCCUUA